GACGAACGCUGGCGGCGUGCCUAAUACAUGCAAGUCGAACGAACCGCGACUAGGUGCUUGCACUUGGUCAAGGUGAGUGGCGAACGGGUGAGUAACACGUGGGUAACCUACCUCAUAGUGGGGGAUAACAGUCGGAAACGACUGCUAAUACCGCAUGGGACAUAGGAUCACAUGAUUCUGUGAGGAAAGGUGGCGCAAGCUAUCGCUAAGAGAUGGACCCGCGGUGCAUUAGCUAGUUGGUAGGGUAAAGGCCUACCAAGGCGAUGAUGCAUAGCCGACCUGAGAGGGUGAUCGGCCACAUUGGGACUGAGACACGGCCCAAACUCCUACGGGAGGCAGCAGUAGGGAAUCUUCCGCAAUGGACGCAAGUCUGACGGAGCAACGCCGCGUGAGUGAAGAAGGUCUUCGGAUCGUAAAGCUCUGUUGUUAGAGAAGAACAGCGCAUAGAGUAACUGUUAUGCGUGUGACGGUAUCUAACCAGAAAGCCACGGCUAACUACGUG
rnacentral:rRNA from 1 species